AGUGAACGCUGGCGGUAGGCCUAACACAUGCAAGUCGAACGGCAGCACAGUAAGAGCUUGCUCUUACGGGUGGCGAGUGGCGGACGGGUGAGGAAUACAUCGGAAUCUACUUUUUCGUGGGGGAUAACGUAGGGAAACUUACGCUAAUACCGCAUACGACCUACGGGUGAAAGCAGGGGAUCUUCGGACCUUGCGCGAUUGAAUGAGCCGAUGUCGGAUUAGCUAGUUGGCGGGGUAAAGGCCCACCAAGGCGACGAUCCGUAGCUGGUCUGAGAGGAUGAUCAGCCACACUGGAACUGAGACGCGGUCCAGACUCCUACGGGAGGCAGCAGUGGGGAAUAUUGGACAAUGGGCGCAAGCCUGAUCCAGCCAUACUGCGUGGGUGAAGAAGGCCUUCGGGUUGUAAAGCCCUUUUGUUGGGAAAGAAAAGCAGCAGGUUAAUACCCCGCUGUUCUGACGGUACCCAAAGAAUAAGCACCGGCUAACUUCGUG
rnacentral:rRNA from 1 species